AUGCUCGCUUCAGCAGCACAUAUACUAAAAUUGGAACAAUACGGAGAAGAUUAGCAUAGCCCCUGCACAAGGAUGACAUGUGAACUUGUGAAGCAUUCCAUAUUUUU
rnacentral:snRNA from 1 species